rnacentral:tRNA from 1 species
GGGGCUGUGACUCAGAGGUAGAGCACUUGGUUUGUAUGCAGAAGAACCCAGGUUUAAUCCCUGGCAUCUCCA